UUUCUCAGAUCCUUGAAUUACCAAGACUAGCAAUUUUUAUUUUAGGCUUAUGGCUAGUUCUGAUCUAUCUAAGUCUGCCAAACCUGAGAAGUUCACCGGUUUGAACUAUAAACGGUGGGCUAAUCAGAUGAAAUAUUGGCUUACUACUUUAGGACUUAUUUCUGCUAUUGACUCUGAUUUUUCUCUAUCAACACCUACGCCCUCUUCAUCAUCACAAGCUGAACCUACCUCCACACCUACCACAUCAUCCGGGAUUUCCAAAUCUCCUGAGGAAAUAAACUUUCAUUGUUACAACCGAAUCCUUAGUGCUCUUUCAGACAAAUUGUAUGACAUUUAUUAUGAGUAUAAGGAUGCAAAAGAAUUGUGGGUAGCACUAGAGUCUGAAUAUGGUUUAGAUGAUGCUGGUAUAGAACGUUUCUCCUCCUCCUCCUUUAAUAAGUUUGUUAUGGUAGAUAGUAAACCCAUCAAUGAUCAGCUUCAUGAAUUUCAAGACUACAUCCGAUACCUUCAGUCGAAAGGAAAUACUUUCUCUGAAGAAUAUAAGGUAUCUAGUCUUAUUGAUAAACUUCCUCCUUCUUGGUCUGAUUUUGCUAAAGAUCUCCGUCAUCUACAGGGUGACUUGACUCUUGUACAAGCCCUCAAAGGUAUUAGGAUAGAGGAUCAACAUAGGCAAAACUUCGAACCAAAAAAUGAGAUGAAAGCAAAAGUAAACCUAGUGGAAGAAAAGCCUAAGAACUUUAGAAACCCAAAUCACAAACCCAAGGGCAAGAAUUUCAAGAAAAAGAAUCAUUCUCAUCGUCCUAACCAACAUCCCAAUCUCUCUAGAAACCACAAACCUUUUAGCCAAAAGUCUGAGACUAAAUUUUGCUAUGUCUGUGGGAGAACCAAUCAUCUUUCAACUCAGUGCUACUACCGAAAGAAAGCUCCUAUCAAGACUCCUGUAGGCGGAAAGGGUGAAGAAGCGAGUCAUAAGGUCAACAUGGUAGAAAAUAACUCAGGCUCCUUUAGGAAUCAAGUGGAGGAAGUGUAAUUCUAGCAGAUGACUCGACUAGACAAGUAAUGGGAAGUGGACGUGUGGAUCUAAAGAUGACUUCCGGAAAGAUUUUGACUCUUCACAAUGUCCUACAUGUACCACUACUUAGAAGAAAUCUGAUUAGUGAAUCUGUUUUAUUAAAAGUUGGAUUUAGGAUUGUUAAAGAGUCAAAUAAGUUUGUAAUUACCAAGAAUGAUAUAUUCAUUGGUAAAGGUUUUGUUUGUGAUGGUCUUUUUAAGUUGAAUGUAAUAAGAUCCUCUGAUAAUAAAAGUUCUUCCAUAAUCUUAAAUG